rnacentral:tRNA from 1 species
GAGUCGGUAGCUCAACAUGGUAGAGCAGCGGACUUUUAAUCCGUUUGUUGAGGGUUAGAGUCCCUCCCGACUCA